AAUCCAAUGGUUGGAAGCUGAAGCUAGAGAAAUUCGGACUGGAAAUAAGGUGUAAUUUUUUCACAGCCAGAGUAAAUAACCAGUGGGACAAUUAACCAAAGAUUGGGGUGGAUUUUCCAUCACUGACCAUUUUUGCAUCACGACUGGCAGUUGUUCUGAAAGCUCUGCUCAAGGGGUUAUUUGGGGGCAGGUCUCUGGCCUGUGUUAUGCCAGGGGUCAGACUGGAUUAUUAGAGUGGUGCCUUCUCAAGUUAGACUAUGAACCCCACCGAUAACUGUACCCCCAUUACAAUCUUACCUUUGCCGGGAAUCUGUCACUGGCCAGGUGUUCUUGGCAAAAUCAAUUGCUAAGGAUACUCGGAAGUGAAAAUCACCCCAUGUUAACCUUGGCCAUUGUACUUUUAUGUUUGGGACAAUUCCAGGCAGAGCAGCAUGAGAAGUUCGUGCUGAAUUCAGCAGCAUUUGUUUCCUCGAGUGGCUCGUUGUGGGACCGGUCACAUCUGUUCUCUGUAGACCUGGGGAGGGCAGAGGCAGGAGCUGGUGUCUAUAAAAACCUGCCCAGGGAGUUCAGUCCCCAGCUGGUAUUUGGUUGGAGCGAUGGAAGCAGCUGGGUUUGGCCAAGAUGGGACCAGGCGAGGCUGGAUCAUGGGGCAUCUCUGCUCCCUGCUGGUCACUGCACUGCUGGCGACAAGCCUGGUGCAGGGUCAGUCAGAACCAAGCAGUGGCAGAAUGAAGACAGGAUGAGUUAAAGUUCUACCAAGAUGGUUCGUAUUAGCAGGGUUCCGGAGUCCCAGGCUGGCAGGGAAAACAGGCUCAGAGGCAGUCUCAGCACAUCAGGUGGCAGGCCCAAGGGGGUCUCUGUGACACAAUCUGUCACACAAACCACACCUAUUGGUGGAGUUUGCAUCUGUCUAUUCACACAUGCCGGCUCCAGACCAACAGGACGCAAUCUCAGAGGCAGCCAGCAGAUGGCACCCAGCAGCAUCAAA